rnacentral:misc_RNA from 1 species
AGAAUCAGCUAGUGGCUGAGCAUUGCUUAUCAGUGGCAUAUUUGCUUUUGCAUUGGUUGUUCAGAUUUGAAACAAAAGAAAAUAAAACUAAUAAGAGGUGGCUCUUUCUGAAAGCUUGAGUAUAUUCUACUUGUGAUUGAGUCAUUUAUAAAUAAACUGAGAGCUCUUGUGGGUACCCUGAUUGAUAAUUUUACAACAAAUCAUAGACCAGUGAGAUUCUGCAUAACUCACUUUAGAUUGAGAACGAGGGAGAAGCUGGAAGACUUGAGUCAAAGUUGGGAUGCAGCAUUCCCAAUUUAAAGUACUAGGCUAGUUUCAGGUUGUAAUUGAAUACGUUUCAAUGAGUUAGUGAGUAGUAACUUGUUUUUUAGGUGAAACAUGAUGUUCACUGCGAGUGGUAUGGUGAUUCCUCCAUCACUGGGAGCACAACAAAGAGUUGAACCCAUCAUAGGAUACUGUGCUGCAAGUUUUCCUUAUAAUGAUGAUGCAAGUUCCACCAUUUUUGAUCCUUUAAAUCCUCUAUGAAUUGCAGGAGCAUAAUGUGUGGAGGUUGUGU